rnacentral:rRNA from 1 species
AGUGAACGCUGGCGGCAGGCCUAACACAUGCAAGUCGAGCGGCAGCGCGUCCGACCACCCUCGGGUGGUCGGAUGGCGGCGAGCGGCGGACGGGUGAGGAAUGCAUCGGAAUCUGCCUCGUUGUGGGGGAUAACGUAGGGAAACUUACGCUAAUACCGCAUACGACCUACGGGUGAAAGUGGGGGACCUUCGGGCCUCACGCGAUGAGAUGAGCCGAUGCCGGAUUAGCUAGUUGGCGGGGUAAAGGCCCACCAAGGCGACGAUCCGUAGCUGGUCUGAGAGGAUGAUCAGCCACACUGGAACUGAGACACGGUCCAGACUCCUACGGGAGGCAGCAGUGGGGAAUAUUGGACAAUGGGGGCAACCCUGAUCCAGCCAUGCCGCGUGAGGGAAGAAGGUCCUCUGGAUUGUAAACCUCUUUUGGCAGGAACAAACCUGCGCUAUACGCGCAGCUGAGGGUACCUGCAGAAUAAGCACCGGCUAACUCCGU